rnacentral:tRNA from 1 species
GGGCCCAUGGUCUAGUGGUUAUGACGACGCCCUUACAAGGCGUAGGUCCCCGGUUCGAAUCCGGGCCGGCCCA